rnacentral:rRNA from 1 species
UGAGUAAUGCUUGGGAACAUGCCUUGAGGUGGGGGACAACAGUUGGAAACGACUGCUAAUACCGCAUAAUGUCUACGGACCAAAGGGGGCUUCGGCUCUCGCCUUUAGAUUGGCCCAAGUGGGAUUAGCUAGUUGGUGAGGUAAUGGCUCACCAAGGCGACGAUCCCUAGCUGGUUUGAGAGGAUGAUCAGCCACACUGGGACUGAGACACGGCCCAGACUCCUACGGGAGGCAGCAGUGGGGAAUAUUGCACAAUGGGCGCAAGCCUGAUGCAGCCAUGCCGCGUGUGUGAAGAAGGCCUUCGGGUUGUAAAGCACUUUCAGUCAGGAGGAAAGGGUGGUGGUUAAUACCCGUCAUGUGUGACGUUACUGACAGAAGAAGCACCGGCUAACUCCGUGCCAGCAGCCGCGGUAAUACGGAGGGUGCGAGCGUUAAUCGGAAUUACUGGGCGUAAAGCGUACGCAGGCGGUUUGUUAAGCGAGAUGUGAAAGCCCCGGGCUCAACCUGGGAACUGCAUUUCGAACUGGCAAACUAGAGUGUGAUAGAGGGUGGUAGAAUUUCAGGUGUAGCGGUGAAAUGCGUAGAGAUCUGAAGGAAUACCGAUGGCGAAGGCAGCCACCUGGGUCAACACUGACGCUCAUGUACGAAAGCGUGGGGAGCAAACGGGAUUAGAUACCCCGGUAGUCCACGCCGUAAACGAUGUCUACUAG